rnacentral:rRNA from 1 species
GGGGCCACGGGGUCACUCCCAACCCCUGUGACAUACCUUACUGUUGCCUCGGCGGAUCAGCCCGCUCCCGGUAAAACGGGACGGCCCGCCAGAGGACCCCUAAACUCUGUUUCUAUAUGUAACUUCUGAGUAAAACCAUAAAUAAAUCAAAACUUUCAACAACGGAUCUCUUGGUUCUGGCAUCGAUGAAGAACGCAGCAAAAUGCGAUAAGUAAUGUGAAUUGCAGAAUUCAGUGAAUCAUCGAAUCUUUGAACGCACAUUGCGCCCGCCAGUAUUCUGGCGGGCAUGCCUGUUCGAGCGUCAUUUCAACCCUCAAGCCCUCGGGUUUGGUGUUGGGGAUCGGCGAGCCUUUCUGGCAAGCCGGCCCCGAAAUCUAGUGGCGGUCUCGCUGCAGCCUCCAUUGCGUAGUAGUAAAACCCUCGCAACUGGAACGCGGCGCGGCCAAGCCGUUAAACCCCCAACUUCUGAAUGUUGACCUCGGAUCAGGUAGGAAUACCCGCUGAACUUAAGCAUAUCAAUAAGGGAGAGAAAG